UGAGGCCAGGCGCUGUGGCUCACACCUGUAAUCCCACCACUUUGGGAGGCCAAGGUGGGUGGAUCACCUGAAGUCAGGAGUUCGAGACCACCAUGGCCAACAUAAUGAACUGUUGCCUAUACUAAAAAUACAAACACAAACUGAGCCAAGUGAGCCAAGAUCAUGCCAUUGCAUACUCCAGCCUGAGCAACAAGAGCGAACUCCAUCUCAAAAUAAAAAAGGAGACUUGUGCUGUUUCAUCACACAUGCCUAAACACCUACCAAUUUCAUCUACAGGAAGAGGCUGAAUGAUCAGCCCCCCAGGAUUGAAAACUGUCCUGCUGCCAAAUGAUUAUUCAUCUAUGGAUCAUCAUACAACCCCUACACAAUUCACUUACAGUCUACUUUUCAUCUUCCCUCCUUCGGAACAAUUCCUGGUACAGCAUUGUCUUGUUAUUUCAUCCUAUUUAUUUUCACUUCUUUCCCAGGGCAACACUCCCUCUAGUGUCUAUGUAGGGCUCUCAGGUUCCACUCUUGGUACACAGGGUGAAGGCAAAAAGGGAACUCAAGCCUACAACUCUAUGGGUAUAGAUCACCACAAAGUAGUGGAUUGUACCAGUGUGAUAAUUCUGGGGAACAGGCUGCAGAUAUUCUACAGAUAGCUCCAAUCCAUGUGAUAUGCCCAUUUCACAACAGGCACAAAUACAGAAGAGGAAAGGAAAAAUGUAACAUUGAGGUCUAGCCCAUGACUUUGGCAUACAUGAGUCUUUGGCACAAUGGGAUCUGCUUGUCAACCAGCCCCAGCAACCCAGUGUUCUCCAAUGUUCUAGUAGCUACACACUUUACUCACUUCCCUCAAGAAGUCUCCCUUGAUUAGCUGUGAGUUGUAUCAUGGAUGCCCAAUCUGAGAGAAGCUACUCUUCAUCUUUCUGGAUCCCUUAACUCUCCAUGCAAUAAAAGCCCCGAAAUAAUGUUAAAUUUAUUCAUAGCUUAUUAGUGUAAUCAUCUAAUGAAUAUUAUUCUGUUUCUAUUACAAAUUCUGAGUAUGAAUUUCAAGAAUACAGGUCCCCAGUCAUUCACUUCUAGAUCCUUUUCAAUGUCUACUUUGGCACGACAGAAAAGAUAGACAUGGCAAAGACUCAUUGACUGGGGACAUGAACUAUGGGAGGUGGUUGAAAUGAGCAUCUUGAUGAGAACUGGGUUCUAGCCAAGGCCUUGCCAUCAGCUCACUGGGAAACCUUGAGCAAGUGCCUCCUUCCUCUGCUUCAACAUUUCCAUCUGAAAAUUAAGGGAAGGCCCCUUCCAGAUAUAAAAAUAACAACUAAACUAAAGUAUCUUGAGUGCUUGCUACAAAUGGGUCAGGCACUUCUUUUAAGCACUCUGCCCUGUACAGUCUCACUUAAUUCUUACAACAGCCCAAGGUAGAGAUACUAUAUCAUCACUCCCUUUUUUCAGAUGAAGAAACAGCAGAGAGGGUAACAACUUGCCCAAUGUCACACAGCUAUUAAGAAACAGAGGCAGGACUUGAACCCAGGCACCUGGCUGCAAAAUCCAUGAUCUUAUUUAGUAUGUGGCCUGUUUCAGGUUCCCAGUCUAUCUGUUCUCAACAAAUCCAGAAGAGGAUUGCAUUCAUGAUGAAAUCUCUCCACAAAUAUGAAUUCACACAAGUUGUACCAUAUACCCAUACUAAAUAAUCCCACAACCCAAUAUAAUCCUUGAUUAUCCUACAUAGCUUUAUUUCCAGUUUUUCCCUUAAAGAAGGUUUUUUCUCUUUCCAAUGCAUGCCAAGUAACAGUCCCCUACUUAGCCAAGGGCACAGUUUUACUGACCAAGAACCCUGCUGGCCCCACUCUGCUGCAGGUCCCUCUCAUCUCAACCAAGCAGGGAUGGCUUCCUCUGAUUCCCUGCAUGCACUCAAUAGCAGAAAACAAUCUGUGCAAUCCUGAGGUUCUUAGACUCCAUUAUUUUUUCCAAAUUUACUAUAGAACAUUUAUUAGUGUAUAUAAACAACAGUAUUUCUAUAAAUAAUUAAAUCCAAACUACACUGAUCAAAAUAAAUGAGCAAAAUAUUCCUGGUUGUGAUGUAACCAGGCUUGAUUCACUCACUAACUCAAAUAACAAAGUGACUCACAAGAGGCCCCCAUUAACAAUGGUUAGUAAGAUACAGCUUGUCCAACAUUAACUAGCUUGUUAUUCAUUGUCUGCAGCCACCGUGGUGGGUGGGCAGGUUGACUAUAGAGUAUGGCCCCAGAACAGAAGGAAAGAAUCUAUUCCUAAAUCUCUCUAACUAGCCUCAUAGGAUACCCAUCCUGGGGCCUCAAUCUACCCUACCUAUAAAAUGGGCACCUCAACAGAGUGAAAACACACAAAUCCUCUUAGAAGGAAAAUGCUCUGUUAACCUGAGAAGAAAGGAGAAAAAUGGGUGUGAAGAGGGGAUGGCUCUUCCAAGAGAAAAAAAAAUAAGCAGGGUCCAAGGUAGGCUGCCAUGUUUCUGUCUGAGCCUCAUAUCCUCAUCUCUAUCAUGAGUGAUUUGAUGAAGACAAUUCCCAAGUGCACUUCCAGUCUUGACAUUCUGCAAGUCUCAAAUUCCUCUAGUAUGUCCCACAGGGAUCCUCUCUUCUGCGAGCUCAUAGCCUGAAACGAUCACUUGACAAUUAACCACGUAUCACCCCAUGGCAUCUGUCUUGUUGUCAUGUGUUAUUUAACUUUACAGAAGAGCAGUCUCACAUCCAAAGCAUGUCGGCAGGACCAUGAGGCAAAUGCUGUCUUAUCCUUCUUUGUCUCCUCUCUAUCACACUUCUACCAACCCCACAGUUUCUAGGACAAUGCCACAUACACAGGAAACACUCAGAAAAUGGAUGAAUGUCUUAUGGGGGUGUCCAUCUGAUCUCUGAAGUCCAUGAGAAGCCAGGAUUGUUAACUAGUCCUUAUUUCUAUCCUCUUACUAAGUAGUGUAGAGACCCCUCUGAAUCUUAUGUUAACAUUCAUACAUGAAAUAAUACACCAGUUGUCUAAACUCAGUGUUA